AAAUUGAAGAGUUUGAUCAUGGCUCAGAUUGAACGCUGGCGGCAGGCCUAACACAUGCAAGUCGAGCGGUAACACAGAGAGCUUGCUCUCGGGUGACGAGCGGCGGACGGGUGAGUAAUGUCUGGGAAACUGCCUGAUGGAGGGGGAUAACUACUGGAAACGGUAGCUAAUACCGCAUAACGUCGCAAGACCAAAGAGGGGGACCUUCGGGCCUCUUGCCAUCAGAUGUGCCCAGAUGGGAUUAGCUAGUAGGUGGGGUAACGGCUCACCUAGGCGACGAUCCCUAGCUGGUCUGAGAGGAUGACCAGCCACACUGGAACUGAGACACGGUCCAGACUCCUACGGGAGGCAGCAGUGGGGAAUAUUGCACAAUGGGCGCAAGCCUGAUGCAGCCAUGCCGCGUGUAUGAAGAAGGCCUUCGGGUUGUAAAGUACUUUCAGCGGGGAGGAAGGCGAUAAGGUUAAUAACCUUGUCGAUUGACGUUACCCGCAGAAGAAGCACCGGCUAACUCCGUGCCAGCAGCCGCGGUAAUACGGAGGGUGCAAGCGUUAAUCGGAAUUACUGGGCGUAAAGCGCACGCAGGCGGUCUGUCAAGUCGGAUGUGAAAUCCCCGGGCUCAACCUGGGAACUGCAUUCGAAACUGGCAGGCUAGAGUCUUGUAGAGGGGGGUAGAAUUCCAGGUGUAGCGGUGAAAUGCGUAGAGAUCUGGAGGAAUACCGGUGGCGAAGGCGGCCCCCUGGACAAAGACUGACGCUCAGGUGCGAAAGCGUGGGGAGCAAACAGGAUUAGAUACCCUGGUAGUCCACGCCGUAAACGAUGUCGACUUGGAGGUUGUGCCCUUGAGGCGUGGCUUCCGGAGCUAACGCGUUAAGUCGACCGCCUGGGGAGUACGGCCGCAAGGUUAAAACUCAAAUGAAUUGACGGGGGCCCGCACAAGCGGUGGAGCAUGUGGUUUAAUUCGAUGCAACGCGAAGAACCUUACCUACUCUUGACAUCCAGAGAACUUAGCAGAGAUGCUUUGGUGCCUUCGGGAACUCUGAGACAGGUGCUGCAUGGCUGUCGUCAGCUCGUGUUGUGAAAUGUUGGGUUAAGUCCCGCAACGAGCGCAACCCUUAUCCUUUGUUGCCAGCGGUUAGGCCGGGAACUCAAAGGAGACUGCCAGUGAUAAACUGGAGGAAGGUGGGGAUGACGUCAAGUCAUCAUGGCCCUUACGAGUAGGGCUACACACGUGCUACAAUGGCGCAUACAAAGAGAAGCGACCUCGCGAGAGCAAGCGGACCUCAUAAAGUGCGUCGUAGUCCGGAUUGGAGUCUGCAACUCGACUCCAUGAAGUCGGAAUCGCUAGUAAUCGUGGAUCAGAAUGCCACGGUGAAUACGUUCCCGGGCCUUGUACACACCGCCCGUCACACCAUGGGAGUGGGUUGCAAAAGAAGUAGGUAGCUUAACCUUCGGGAGGGCGCUUACCACUUUGUGAUUCAUGACUGGGGUGAAGUCGUAACAAGGUAACCGUAGGGGAACCUGCGGUUGGAUCACCUCCUUACCUUAAAGAA
rnacentral:rRNA from 1 species